rnacentral:lncRNA from 1 species
UCUACCAGAGAAGACCUCAGAACUAAACUGGCUGUGAGAACCAAGCUCCCUUGAAACCAGUGCAAGGCAGCUCACUCACAGUGCUGUCUUCUCCCUCCACCCAUGGAUCCGGAGCACCAUGGCUGCUCUCUUUCCUCCUCUGGGUUAUUUGGACAGCUCAAGAAGGAAGAGCAAGUGUGACAUUCAAUUCAGAUCAAUGGACAGGCAUGGCCCACAAGUCUGACUGCAGAAAUCUCAGCGAAGGAGCCAAGAGCUGAAGACUAAAUAAGUACUAAACUGCAAGGAUGUUAAAUGGAACCCAAGAUAAAGAAAUACUGAUCCCUAA